AGGAGGAACAACCCCAGUGGCGGGGCCAGCUCUGGAGCCCCGGAGUCAGCUCCCGCAGUAACCCAGAGCUCUCCGUCUGCAGGGCCUGGAGGCUCCGGGGCGGG
rnacentral:pre_miRNA from 1 species